rnacentral:rRNA from 1 species
AUCUACGGCCAUGCCACCCUGAACAAGCCCAAUUCCAUCUGAUCUCAGAAGCUAAGCAGGGUCGGGCCUGGUUAGUACUUGGAUGGGAAACCACCUAGGAAGACUAGGUGGUAUAGGCA